AUUGAACGCUGGCGGCAGGCCUAACACAUGCAAGUCGAACGAGUGGCGGACGGGUGAGUAAUGUCUGGGAAACUGCCCGAUGGAGGGGGAUAACUAAUGGAAACGGUAGCUAAUAUCGAAUAUCAUCGGAUGGGCCCAGAUGGGAUUAGCUAUUAGGUGGGUAACGGCUCACCUAGGCGACGAUCCAUCGCUGGGCUGAGAGGAUGACCAGCCGAACUGGAACUGAGACACGGUCCAGACUCCUGCGGGAGUCCGAAGUGGCGAAUAUUGCACAUUGGGCUCAAGCCUAAUUCAGCAAUGCCGCGUGUAUGAAGAAGGCCUUCGGGUUUUAAAGUACAUUCAGCGAGGAGACAUUACUCGCAGAAGAAGCACCGGAUAACUCCGUGCCAGCAGCCGCGGUAAUAC
rnacentral:rRNA from 1 species